CCCUUAGAUGUUCUGGGCUGCACGCGCGCUACACUGAUGCGUUCAACGAGUUUAUAUCCUUGCCCGGAAGGGCUGGGUAAUCUUCUGAAAACGCAUCGUGAUGGGGAUAGAUUAUUGUAAUUAUUAAUCUUCAACGAGGAAUUCCUAGUAAGCACGAGUCAUCAGCUCGUGCUGAUUACGUCCCUGCCCUUUGUACACACCGCCCGUCGCUCCUACCGAUUGGCAAAUCCGGUGAAUUAUUAGGACCGUCCCGUCACCUGGUUUCCAGGCGACGAUUCGGAAAUUCUCGUGAACCUUAUUUGCUAGAGGAAGGAGAAGUCGUAACA
rnacentral:rRNA from 1 species